UAAGGCCAGAGACGCAAGCGUUAGUCAUCUUGAUCAGGCGUAAAGGGUAUGUAGGCUGCUUUAAAAAAAUUGNGUGUAUAAAUUGAAUUUAUAUAUNUUUUAUUUNAUAAUUAAAGCUAGAAUCAAAUAGAGGUCACGACUUUAAAAUUAUCAGACAACUCCUAGUGGAAGGUCGACAUCUGUAGAUAUUAGGAGGAGUACUAAUUAGCGAAAGCUCUUUUCCAUCUUAUGAUUGACGCUGAGAUACGAAGGGGAGGAUAGACAAUAGGAUUAGAUACCCUAGCAUCCCUCCCUGUAAACGAUGAAUGGUAGUUGCUAGAAUAUAAAAUUUAGUGACGAUGCUAACGCGUUAACCAUUCCGCCUUGUAAGUACGGUCGCAAGUCUGAAAACAAAAAAAUUAGUCGGU
rnacentral:rRNA from 1 species